UACAGAGGUCUCAAGCGUUGUUCGGAUUCAUUGUGCGUACAGGGCGCGUAGGCGGCGGGGUAAGUCGGGUGUGAAAUCUCAGAGCUCAACUCUGAAACUGCACUCGAUACUGCUUUGCUAGAGGACUGGAGAGGAGAUUGGAAUUCCCGGUGUAGCGGUGAAAUGCGCAGAUAUCGGGAGGAACACCGGUGGCGAAGGCGGUUCUCUGGGCCUGACCUGACGCUGAGGAGCGAAAGCGUGGGGAGCGAACAGG
rnacentral:rRNA from 1 species